ACUGUAAACAGAAAGAGUUGCGUACUUCUUCACCCAGCACGGUCACUGAGCUGGCAAGCUAAAGUUAGCUAGUGAGUCACAGAAAUGUACGUUCAGUCUGUUAAUUAUUUCAGUCCGAUUGGACUUAUCCUACUCAAAUCAACAUGGCUCAACAUAGUUUUUCGUUUUUGACCUCGACAUUCUUGCUGGAUAGAUACUGUGAUAGCUAACAUGUGGGCUAAUCUCCUGUGGAUGCCUCCCUCUAGUUCCCUAGAGCAGCAGACCGGCCCUCCAUUCCCAAACCUGAAGCCCCCUGUCCCCAGCAGGAAAUACCAAGAAAAACUUCCUAUUGAGGAAAUAUCUGUCAACUAGGCUCGGUGGGUGUUUCCACAAAGAUGUUCCAGACCUGGAGUGGCACGCUGGAACUUCCAGAGGCUUGUAGACCUGAAGCAGUGUGAGAUCUGACACCCCUACUAGCUCAACCACAGUUCUCACAGCUGCAGUCGUCUGCUCCUGCACCUGCUACACCGGCCACGACAGGUGAUUCAGAUCUGCCACCCCCAGCAGUCCAGCAGUCCUCUGCUGUGGUAUUUAAUUUACCGGCUACACCGGUUCCUACUACACUGGCCGUGAAGGGAGAAUCUUUUGAGGAUUCCCAGAUGGAUACAGAUCUGCCAUGCACUCCACCACUACCCCAGACAGCCUCACCCAGAAGUGCAUGCACCGGGCCUAUCACAAAGCAGAGAUGGGUGGCUGACAAGGAAAAAUAAAAUACAACAUGCACACACACUCUCUCUGUUACACACACAUUAUCCCCAAUGUAAAUAAAUUGUAAUUAUUUUAUUUUAGGAUUGGAGAUAUCUUACGCCUACAUAUUCAUUAUCAAUAGCUACACAAUUACUCUAUCCAAUCAAAGUGUGAUUGAUAAUAUUGUAAGAUUAUUGCUUAAUUUGUAGUUUGAGGAAAUUCUGUGUGCUUUUUUUCUGAGUUGAAAAACAUGCCUCCCUCUCUCUCUCACUCACACACACCCAAUGUAAAUACAUUGUUUAUUUUAUGUAUGCUCUAUUUUAUUUGAGGAUUGUGUGCAAUAAAGUACAUUCACAGU